rnacentral:rRNA from 1 species
UACGUAGGCAGCGAGCGUUGUUCGGAGUUACUGGGCGUAAAGGGGGUGUAGGCGGUUGUUUAAGUUUGGUGUGAAAUUUCCCGGCUCAACUGGGAGGGUGCGCCGAAUACUGAAUGACUUGGAGUGCGGGAGAGGAGAGUGGAAUUCCUGGUGUAGCGGUGAAAUGCGUAGAUAUCAGGAGGAACACCGGUGGUGUAGACGGCUCUCUGGACCGUAACUGACGCUGAGACACGAAAGCGUGGGUAGCAAACAGG